ACUCCACCUCCGUCAUGUGGCGCAGAUCCUCCAUCCAGCGCUGCACCGAGUCCACCUGGAGGGUCUGCAUGCGGGUACUCAUCGGGGCUGAACAGA